AUCGACGUCGCCGUCCUCGGCGCUGCUGUCCAGGGGCGCCCCGCCGAAGCUGUCCAGCGCCUCCUCGGCGUCGCGGUGCUGCCGAGAGUGCCGGGGGAAGGUCUCACACUGCAGGAAGAGCGGCCCCUGCCCUGUGGGAGCCCGGAGGCCAGCAGGUAGAUGGGUCUGUGGAAGGGCAGUAGCAAAGCCGCCUAGAAGCAUUUUGUCUUUUGCUGUGUUUGCUGCCAGCAGCUCUGUAGGAACGCGCUUACGGCGCAGCCGGACAGCUGAGGCCCUGCGUGAUUCCUCGCUGGGAAUUUCGCUGUCGAGCUCCGAGGUGGCUGUGGGGCUGAAAGGGAUGUUCUGCAGCUUCUGUAACUUCGUUUUCCCUUCCUGCCUGGGCGCCUGCGGGAAGGUGGCAUGGGACCUUAGAAGCGACCUGAAAAGCCGUGUUGAAAAGCAGGUAAUUUGUUUAAAGAUAGCCUUCAUACACCCCAGCAGGGGAGGCCACACUUAAGUGACCUGAGAGAUCUCUUUGAAGAUCCUCAGGCUGUAACUAGCGAAGGAAGGUCAGUAGCUGUGGAAGAGUCUGAUAUUUCAGAAGAGGCGCGAGAGAGUUUGCAACCAGCAACGCGUGGGUAAGGGCUGCCCUGCAAUCCGGAGCAAGGGAGCCCGUCAAACGGGAGCUCUGGGGGAAAUAUGAACUCAAAAAUGGUCAGGUUUGUAUUUACACGUUAUUUUGAGGUGGGAAAUAAAAGGUAUUGUCGCGUUUGAAGCUUACGUUGAAGCGGGAGAAGUGAGAACUGAAGUUCUUUAUUAAAUAAGAAGCAUGGCACAAAAUAAUUGUGUACUAAGGUACAAAGACUUGGCUUUGCGCUGUAGAUCAUGACAUGGUUUGAGCUCAUUUAAGUAAUGAUAGUUGCUACGAUCAGGUGGGUAGCUGUUGAUUUAUACAAAACAAAUGUUUUGAGUCAGUUCAGCAGGUGCUGCGCAUCAACAAAGUUCUGCUUUAAGCUUGCUCUGUAGGUGUAUGAAAUUCUGAUUAUGCAUUUCUGAAAAAAAAUAUUUUGCGCAAAUGGGAAUGCUUUAAUAAAACAAACCAGGUUCUUUUCAGGAUUUUCUAGCUUCUGGACAAAAAAUGAUAAUUUUCCACAGAAGUUUGGUUAAUCCUGAAUCGUAUGGUGCACUCCUCUCCCCUACUCUAGCGAAAGAUAACAAUAUUAUACCUGUAUCUUAGUUUGGUGUGUAUCAGAGCUUUUUAAAGAGUCUUGCUGGCCUCAGAAUACCUACUUUUACUGGGCUGGUGUCUCAACCUGCAAGUCUCCGUCUUGCGCUGCGAUGAUUCCGAAGUGUAUCUCUUUACUCUACAAAGACUUUCAAGACUGAUGGAUUGCUCUAAUCCACUGUGUACGUGAGCUGAACAUAUGAAUGAAUUUUUCACAGUGAGAAAUACCCACAUCUGGUCUUUUGGAUUUCAGAUGAGCUGUGUGUGUCUCCCUGUGCCGUUAGACUUGCGUCAUAGACAAUAUAAUAAUUUGCAGAGGCAAGAUUAUGCAUCUGGUGACCCGUAUCGCUCCACUGACUUCAGUAGAGUUAGAGAACGAGUGAAGUGAUUGAUUGAGUGAAAGUCUAGGUCCUACGUGAGCAAGCUGAGAGCAGUUCACCAUAUCCUUCCCUGUCAGUUGUCUUCCCUAUACUGGGAAGAGAAAAUAGCCAGGGAGUGCUUAAUGUGAAGGUAGAUGUGCGUGCCCAGGAAUUAUCCACUAUUGCUGCAAUAGUUCUUGUCAUUUUUACUAAGUUAAAUUAGUAUUUGCUAAGUUUUACUUGUUAGAAAGCGUUAAAACAACUUUAAGAGUGCUGAGGGAGGCACAGAGUUGUAGGUUGUUCAGAUAGCUCACAGGCUGCUGGGAAAGGGGUUCUGGCACAGCAGCAGGUAAUGCUAUCAGAAAAUCGCAAAGUAACUUAAAGGACAUGAGCCUUGGAGCUACAUUUUGUUUCCACGAGCUAAUUCUCGCAACUGGUGAGGGAUUUUAAUAAUUUGUGAUGAUUUUAACGAUUCUGAGAACUUCAGUGCUUUCUACUCUUAACUCCAAGUCAGUUUUCCUCUCAAUGUGGGGGAUGAUUUAGCGUAUAUUCCCUAAUACUCCUAAGCUUGGUGAGUAAUAACUUCGGAGCCAAGUUCAAGCUUUUUUGUUUCUCUUUGUGUUUGUAUGAAGUCAUUUUUACCACUUAUGGAAGACACUGGACUGAUAGAUCAAAAGAGCAUCGUAGAGGCGCAGAAAGCACACAGAGGGUCUUUGCUUUAUGCCUCCGUGCUUUACCAGCAGAGCAAGAGUAGCUCGUUCGGCAAGCCUGUUUGGUCUCUGCAUUCGCUGAGAUACACGGCAAGGAUACCAAGGACGGGGACAGCUAAUGAAGCACCCGCUCCUUGACUUUAAGGCUACAUAGUCCAAGUUCAGCAACAAGUUUAUGUUCAAGGAAAGCUUUUUUAUGAAAACUUUUUGACCCAUUCUAACAGCAGCAACAACGUAAAGAGGGAAAAGAGACCCUAAAAAAAAAAAAACCCUGUGACUUUAUGCGCAAGAUAACCGUGAAUAUGAGUGGAGAGCAAGUCGAAAAUAUUUUAGACCUGGAGGAAGUUCAGAGGGAGGGAGAGAUUUAUUUGUGAGAGCUGUAAUUUCAAAACAAAAGGCAGCCAGGGCUGGAACACCGGUUUUGCAAAUGCAUGUGUGCUAUAAUCCAUGACAAUACAACAGUGUUUCAGCGCAGUUCUUUAUCAGUUGUAGAUUACAUCAUGCUGUGAAUUGCUCUGUCUGUUAAUAUUGAUCCUUGUAAAUCAUUUGGUUUAAGGUCUUCAAAUGGAAAGCUGUGAUGCACUUCAGCAUGUAAUGUAUUCGCUCUGUCCCUGAAACUCAUUUAAAAACAAACAAAGCUGCACUUGCAUAGAUGAUAUUACUUUUCUGAAAGGUUAGAUGUACCCCUGUAGACUGUCGAUAGCUGGAUGAAAGCCCUCCAUGGCAAGAAUGAGAAUGAAGGAGAAAACUCUUGUUUGGUGCUUGAUGUUGGCUGAAGGAGCCGUAGAAGUGCCGCGUGUCUGAAGAGCUGUGAAGCACAGAGCCCGAUUUCAAGAAGUCCUGCUGUUUUUAACAAGAACAGCCGCAGGAGGAGAAAUUGUGGCUGAAUUCUAGUUCCCCUCCUCUUACCUAGCUGGGUUUUUCUUCUUAAUUACUGAAGUUUUGACUGAAUACAUACUUCAUUUUCAGUCACAUUCUUGAAUGUGUGUGUGGCUUUUUUGCAUGCUGAGAAACACGUGCUACGGUCGACCUGCUGGGCUGCGUUUCGUCCCCAGUCCAUUCGUAGGGCGCAGGGAUUGUGAGGGAAGGUCCUUCUGGAUCUGCACGUUGCCUUAGGAGCCGUUGAAAGACUGCUGGUGUGGACAUGUUAGUGUUGCAAAGUUGUACAUCAAACUGUGAGAUAAACCAAAGUUGCCCUGAAAAAAAUGAAGGUAAUGUUGUAUUAUGUUAGAUGCCAUCGUAACUCAGGCAAAUGCAAGUCAUAGAGGAAGGUGCUUAAACACCAAAGGAAAAGCAAACGUGCGUGUGUUACAGGUGAUAUAGUGAGUUCGUUGGUCUUCGCUGGCUCCAUUAACUCAGAGGAACUCCCACCUGAAUCGGCCCGGUUUCACUGAGGAUUUCAGGGAGCUGGAACCAGGUAAAUGCUCAGACCUGGUUUGUGCCCCCGAGUGAGGCAAGGCAGAGGGAGUGAUCUGCUUCGUGCUGAAGGGCUGCAAGCGUCUCCAGACCGUAAGCGCGGGGAGGGGGAGGAUUGCUCCUUCCUUACUGGGGAGUGGGGCAUUAAGCCCUGCAAAUGACUGGUGUGCCAUCUCUCCGGCACCCAGCACCUGCCCAGAUCCAGCACGUGGCUGCACCAGACCAGGCACUGACCCUCUCUUGGAGCACAUCUGUAUGCUGGAUCGGUCCAAAACUACAUGAUUUUCUAGACAUACUGUAGUUAAGGCCUUAGUAAAAAUGUCAAGAUUCAUCUUUGAUAAGGUAUUCCUCAAAACAGAAAUGAUCUUUCCUUGAGAAAUCAUGUAGCUAAAUUACAGCAAAACCUACUUUAAGUAACCAAAAUAGGGCAUGCAGCUUGGCUAAUGCUCCACUUUAUUAUAGAGUAUAGUCAUGGGAAUGGUGUAGAUUUGUCUCUGUUGUCUUCUUGCUGAUCUAGGCCUGGUCCAGCAAAACAAGCACCUGAUGACAGGAAAAAAAUAAAACUGGAGGAUUCAUGUCAGUGUGUCAUAAAAAUGUACUUGUGGAAGCUGCUAAAUGUGUGUUACUGGGAGCAGAGUGCCGUAAUCCCAAAGGCUUUAAAUCUGCGUCUUUAAAAGAGCUAACCGGGGUGCAUGUUUAACUGAACUAUUUAGCUCCAACCGUGUAUUAUAGCUGGAGUUUCAAAAAUUAAUAGUAAUUGUUCUUUAUUUUAUAGACAAUCUGUUUUUGAGAGACCUUGGAGGUCCUUGACUUCCUGAGCUCGGCCUGUUCAGCACUUUCUGGAAGCAAAACUCUGCUGUUGCUGCAGUAAGCUUUUUAAAGUCUCAGCCAAUUUGCAGCUGUACAAACUUAUCGGCAGACAGAAACGCAUAGAUAGAGACGCACACGUGUUACAUAUCCUAUAUACAGGAUACAGAACAGGAGGCAGUGGUUGUCUCCUGAACAAGGCGUGCAGUUCUCGGUGCCUCAAGUGUUUCUUUCUCAUUUAACCACAAACAAACGUAGGGUCUGUCUUUCUGACGGAAGGGGCUGCAUUUUAUGCAAUGUGUAUGCUUGCCUGUCAGCCACCUCUUUCCCUAACGUGUCCAAACGGUUGGAACAUUUCUGUCCCUGUUGUUUUUAAUUGAAGACAGAGCUGUAUUUUUUGCUGAACGAUUCACUUCCCACAACUGUUACUACUUCGCCAGCCUACCCUGAGGUUGCAGGAGCGACUGAGAUGUCCUCAGAGAAGCAGGCAGGGAAACGACCUGUAAGUCAUUACUGUUGUAAGCUGCAUGGAGAACUUUGGAUCUUGAAAGGUAAGAGCGUUUCAGAUAAAUCUCCACAAUGUUGGCACAGAUGUUUAAAGCAUUGCUUAAAUCCCUUGAUUAACCCAGUUUCUCAAUAUUUGACAUAAAUCAAUAACUGAGAUUUCUUUGCUGUUCUCUAGCUUUGUAAAUAUUUAUCCAUCCAGUCCCAUGAAAUAUGACAAUAUUUAAUCCUGUUGAAGUAAUUCUUUGUAUGCUGCAUAUGAAGAGAUAUAAUAGUUCCAGUGAUGCUAGUUAAACAAUUGGCACUAAGGAUGAAAUCUGCUGCCUUUCUUUUGCAAAUAACUGGGAUUUAUACGCUGUAAAUGUGAGUGAAUGGAAAGUAAAAUCCACCUUCUGUCACAGCACUUGGGCCAGCUGCUGGGAAUGCAAAUUUCCUGGUUCUGGCUUGCGCCUGAGCCUACGGCUCAGCCUUAACAGCAGCCUUUUGUACCAAUUAAAUGAGGUACUGAGAGCUAGAUCGGGGUAAACAGCGAAAGGAUGGCACUGCUGUUACUUGUCCUCAGCCUUGCGAGGAGGUACCAUGUUUUACCGUACUUGCCUGUGCACCCUGGGCACGAGGAAGAUGCUCUGCCCGCGGUUUCCGCGACCUGGGGAAGCCUUGGUGCUGGCCCUGCUGCCUGUGGCUGAGAUUCCUCCUAACGUGCCGGUUUGCAGCAGGUGUGCUCCUCGUCUCUAGGUACUGCAGAAGUGGAAGGGCCUGAGGAUGACGAGGAAGGGGAGAAGCAUUACAGUGGCACAAGAUGCCUCAAGUUCAUCAGCAGGACUUUGGAAGUGCAUCUUCCUUCAGUUAUUAUUUGUUCUUAAAAGAGGGAAUAACGUUUUGUCAUCCACAUCGGAGGAGCAGUUUUUCUCUCCUUUGAUACGCAGCAGCACUCAGGAGUCCUCGUCGCAGGAAGCAGCCAGAGAGCAGAGGCGGCGAGAGGGCAGGUUCGGGUGGCUCGCACCAAGCCCUGCGGGCGCGUGACGACCCCCCUGCACCCCCCCGGGGACGGGGCAGGGCCGCGCAAGAAGAAGCAGCUGACAACAGCUGCUGACAGAUGAGUCCUGGAGAGGGUUGAAGCCGCGGCGCUUACGGGAACUUGGGAGUUUGCGAUGACCUGAGCUCACCACGGUGUCAGCUCUGCCUGUGCUCCCUCGUUGCUGUCUGAACUGCAGCUCUGAAUCCAAAUGUCUCCGGCCCUGAAGCGUUUGCAAUCCAGACGGAGUGGGGCAUCCUUCUGUCAGUAACAUGCUGUCCUCGUGGUGCACAGGGGAGUAUGCGAAAUCUACAGGAGGCCCCUAAGAGAAUCCCUCUACUGCACCUGACUUCAGCGAAGGCGCGGAGGGGCAGCCCCUGCCCCAGAAACCCCUCCGACGCGUGGGCGCCGGCCCGCACCUCCACGCAGAUUCGGUGUCAGCAGCGGUCCCAAACACCCACGACGAGGGAGGAAUCCCCCCGGCUGCUGCCUUCCUGCCGCUCCGACCUCAGGGAAAGCGGCGAGCUCCGGGCACGCCGUUACCGCUGGGCUGCGGAGAAGCAGCCGUGUUGCUCUGUCCAACGCAAGGCCGCUCGCGCCUCUCCAGGGAGCGCUGAUCCGAGCCCAAAGGGGUGGAAGAUGAUCCCAUGGAAUUAGCUGUUCCCUCUCUUUUUCCUGCUUGAGAGGUAAGAGCUGCACAAGUGCCUUCCUUAAUAAUCACCUAGGAGAGAAUAUAAUGACUGAUCUAUCACCAAAGAAUUUAGAGCUGAUGACGAUAUCUUCUCCCCCCCAGCUGUGAUUUUUAAACAAAAGCCAUAAAUCACAGGGAUGUGAAAGCAAUGGGUUGUUUCAUACCAGGCUGUAGCUGCUGGUUAUUCUUGUCCAAAUGUACAGAUAUGCCCUGAUGGUUACUUAUCAAUGACAGUCCGUUCAGGGCUUAACAUUUUUCAGUUUCAUGGCAAACCUGCAAGGUUAAACAUAUAUAUACUGAAUGAAACAUAGUCCAUUGGUUAUUUUUAGAAAGGCUCCAAACAAGAAGCAAAUCCCUGGAGUAAUGUUGCCAGAGAUGGGGGAAGUUCAAAUCCAAAUUAAAGCUUCCUAUCUUUGGCCCAAGUUCCAACCUGAACUUUAGGAAAAGCUGAGGUCUGUACCUUGAAUUUUAUGACACAAAAUCCCCUUUAACUAGUUUCAGUUACCUGAGAAUAUAAGAACAUGGUAUACCCACUUGAAAAUUAGCACUUGAAAGGAAAAUCUGAACAUACAUGUAAGAGUGCAGUACCCAAUCUUGUGAGAUAGCGUCGUAUAACUUUGACUCAUGGUAGCUGCAAGGAAUUUGGUGAGUGUGAUUUACUAUGAUUUCUCAUUCUUAUACAGUCUUAAGAGAUCAAGUCCUACAACGUAACUGUAAACUUCGGAGGGUAAGAAGAACCUGCUUAUUUACCAUGCAGAUCUACAUAAUAAUGGCCUCAAAUAUUUAACAGUCAGUUUGGAAAGCGUACCAGAAUACAAUAUAAAGAAAGUAGACCCCUUUGCAGCAAUGUACUUACGCAAAGUAGUUGAAAGUAGCACAAGUGAAGCAUGGGCUUGAUUCUUUGCUGAAUCAGAGCCUGCAUCUUCUUCCUGCCAAGGCUGCGAUCUUAGCACCGCUACUAAAUGCGCUAGUAAUUCUAGAAGCUCUAAUGAAAGUCAAGAUAACUCCACGGAUUUUAUAAAUAAGGGUCUUUAUUUAGAAUACUGUUGAAAACAUUCUUGGCAACCACAGUGUAUAAAUAUAUAAAGUUAAAGUUUUGCACGACAAACCAAGCAACAUUAAAUAUUUUGUUUUUAUUUUUUCUUUUUUACUUUUGUUUUUUUCUUUUUUUCUGCAAAGCAACUCUUAUUUACAAUUAUACAAAAAGUUCUAUAAAAAGUGGUCCACAACCUUAUUUUGGCCAGAACAGGGGUAAUAGAAAGGAUGUGUCAUGCCAUUACUCUAAAGACUUGUGGAUUUCUUUUCUCCCCUGCUUUCAACAGCCAGGUUCCUAUUCCCCAAAAGCCCAGAUUAAACAUUGGCCAUUUCAUGGUAUACAGUUUUAUCUCCAGACACAUUAAAUAACUGUAGUUUAACAACCAAUAAAUAACUAGAUGUAUUUUGAAGGAA